UACAGAGGCCCCAAGCGUUACCCGGAAUCACUGGGCGUAAAGGAUGUGUAGGUGGUUAUGUUAGUCUUAUGUUAAAGCACCUGGCUCAACCGGGGAAAGGCAUAGGAAACGGCAUAACUAGAGGAUGCGAGAGGUCUGUGGAACUCUAGGUGUAGGGGUGAAAUCCGUUGAUAUCUAGGGGAACACCAAAAGCGAAGGCAGCAGACUGGCGCACUCCUGACACUGAGACACGAAAGCGUGGGUAGCGAACGGG
rnacentral:rRNA from 1 species